rnacentral:rRNA from 1 species
AGCGAACGCUGGCGGCAGGCCUAACACAUGCAAGUCGAACGGGCCCUUCGGGGUUAGUGGCGGACGGGUGAGUAACACGUGGGAACGUGCCUUUAGGUUCGGAAUAGCUCCUGGAAACGGGUGGUAAUGCCGAAUGUGCCCUUAGGGGGAAAGAUUUAUCGCCUUUAGAGCGGCCCGCGUCUGAUUAGCUAGUUGGUGAGGUAAUGGCUCACCAAGGCUACGAUCAGUAGCUGGUCUGAGAGGAUGACCAGCCACAUUGGGACUGAGACACGGCCCAAACUCCUACGGGAGGCAGCAGUGGGGAAUCUUGCGCAAUGGGCGAAAGCCUGACGCAGCCAUGCCGCGUGAAUGAUGAAGGUCUUAGGAUUGUAAAAUUCUUUCACCGGGGACGAUAAUGACGGUACCCGGAGAAGAAGCCCCGGCUAACUUCGUGCCAGCCGCCGCGGUAAAAC